rnacentral:snRNA from 1 species
GUGCUUGCUUCAGCAGCACAUAUACUAAAAUUGGAAUGAUACAGAGAAGAUUAGCACGGCCCCUGCGUGAGGAUGACAUGCAAAUUCGUGAAGGGUUCCAUAUUUUU